UGGAAAAAGUAUACACAAGUUUAAAGAGAAAACUUCGAUUAUGCUUUACAUCGCUGUUUGUUUACGCGUCUUUGUUUUAUUUUGUGCUACUCUUUUACUCAAACGCAGCUGUGUUUCCUAGAUGAUGAAAUUAUUGCAAGCAUUUGAGUUGAGAAGUGCAAAGCGGAUCCGCGAUCAAUUAUUAGAUAAUAAAAGAAUAUCAAGCAGUUAGUAUAAUGCAUAGUUCUACAGUGGAAAGCGACAAUGUGCCUAAAGAAGAGGAAGUGGAAAUUAUGACAGAAAAUCUACGUUAUAGAAAUAAUGACAGGGGAAUGCG